CACACCGAGAGCUGAAGGUUUUACCCUGAAAAUUUUCUCCAGUUGAUCCAGACUAGACUUCUGAUAGGGAGACACUAUGGCAUCAUGCUUCUAGCUGUCAAACAAAUACAAUAGUGUACCUUUGUAACUUAGUGAAUCUGAUCCUUUUUCUCCAGCAGGUCCUCUGAUCCACCGACAUGGACCCAGUUCCUCCUCCAAAUUCUACUGCCCGGAGGGUGGUGCUGAUCGGUCUUCCUGGAGCUGGAAAAAGUUCCUCUGGGAACACCAUCUUAAGAUCAGAUCAGUUUAAAUCAGGAGGUGACUUUGAUUCAGUCACUACUGAGACUGUCUCUAAGUCAGCCAUAGUGGAGGGUCGUCGGGUCACGGUGGUCGAUACUCCAGGAUUCACUGAUCCGACUGGUGAACAGCUGUAUGAGGGGAUCAUGAAGUCAGUAGUAGAGGCCAGUCCAGGACCUCAUGCCUUUGUUAUUGUGGUCAGAAUAGGAAGAAUCACAGAAACAGACAUCAAACUGUUCAAGCUGCUGGAACAAAUAUUCACCAAGACUGCUAUGAAGUACUUCAUGGUGCUUUUCACUCGGCAGGCGAGCUGGGAGGUCAGUCCAUUAAUAAUUUCAUUGAUUCCAACAAACAUGUUGAAAGACCUGGUUGACAUGUGUGGUAAUAGAUUCUGUGUGUUUGACAACAAAACCAUAACAAACAGAGCCCAGGUCAGUGUCUUCCUGGAAAAAGUACAUGAGAUGUUCUCAGGUAACAAUGGAGACCCAAACUGAACUAAAGAACGUGUCAGAAAGCAGUAUAAUAGGGUUUCUUAAAAACACAUUUAUCAAGAUAGCUAACAAAGCAGCAGGAGUAGCAAUAGUAGCAGCAGUAGCAGCUAUACCAGCAGGGACAACAGAGAUAAUGGCCGCGUAUUGAUGGAAGUAUUGAAGGUAGUAUUGAAGGACAAAUUGAAGGAAGUAUUGAUGGCAGUAGUGAGUGUAGUAUUGAAUGUAGUAGGGAAGGCAGAAAUAAAUGCAGUAGAGGGGAAGUAGUGAAGGCAGCAGUGAAGAAGCAGUGAAGAAAGCAGUGAAGAAAGCAGUGAAGGAAUUAGUGAAUAGAGUGAUGGCAGUAGUGGAGAAAGUAUGGCAGUAGUGAAUUAAUAGUAGAAGAAUUAGGACUAUCAAUAGUGAAAGGAGUAAACCUAGAAACGAUAGCAAAAGCAAUAACAACAGGAGUAACAGUAGCAAAAUCUAUAGUAGCAGCAGCAGCGGAGGAAGACAAUGCAGUAGUAAAAGCACUUAAACAAGUAGAAACAGUAUUAGAAGGAUUAGCAGCUGCGCAGCGCAACAGUAGAAAAGACAGGAGUAGCAGUGGGGGAAUGGCUUGUCAGCAGCAGGAGUCGUAUGAGCACGAGCACUCAUGUGAUGGGUUCUGUUUUAUAUGGCGUUAUGUAAUUAAAAGUUGAUUUCAA